CAUGAAAGGAUUUAGGGACCGGGAGGAGCCUCCAGGCAAUGAGCGCUGGUCUGAGCAAAGAAGGGCCCGAGAGAGCUGAGGGCAGCCUCGUCACAGGUGAGAAGGCUCUGUCUGCCCCCACCGCACCCCCCAGGCCACCUGAAGCCUCUGCCUUUGGGCACCUCCCUGGACACCUCCAGAGACGCUCCGGGGAGGGGACUUCGCCAGCAGGCUGGUCUAGGCUCACCAGGUCCCUCACCAGCGCCCUCUGAGCCGGCCAGGAUGUUCGGGCUGCUCAGCCCCUGGAGAACCUUUGACAACGUGGUCUUCUA
rnacentral:lncRNA from 10 species